ACUUCCACUUGCGGUUCCGCGCGCCCAGCACAUGUGUCUAUAAACACCAGACUCUACAAAAUCCAGAGUUGCCACGAAAAUUGAAAUUGAGGCACACUUUUGGCCCAAUUACACGCACCGAUCGCCUUAAUUUGAACUCGAGGACAAGAACUUCAGGAGAAACACAUUAAUAAGAUUAAAAGAGGGUCUGCCGAGAUGAGUAUGCGAGACGCUAUUGAUGGACGAGUUGCAAGAGUGAGAAAUUAUCUGACAACCCCUGCUGCCGACAGAGCCACGAAAACUCUCGAGCGUUUAGAUGAAGAAAUACUGCGUUACCCGAGCGACGAGGAGGAGAACUCGCGUAAUAAGCAGCUGGAGAAAGACAUGGCCGCGCAGUUUCGAGGUAGAAGUGGACGAUGCUACUUUACGCACUUGCUGCUCGACUCAAGGGUGAUCAGUCGAAUUCAGUGGAACGACGCGACCCCGGAGCAAAAGUGGACAACUUUUCUCAACAGCAUUUUUUAUGUGGGAAAGGGCAAGAAUUUAAGGCCCCACGAGCACCUCAGAGAGGCCUACGAUGUUCUGACAGCUAGCAAAAGUGUAGAUGAAAAGGUCAGGGAAAUGGAGAAAAAAAAUAAAAAUAUCGCAAAAAUCGUGCACAUUCUGAAAAUCUGGUCGGAAGGCGGCGGCGUGAUAAUCAUCAAGGCCUUCGGAUUCAUCAGAUCUAAAGAGGCAUUCACCAGGGAGGCAGUCAUGAUUGAAACCCUAGGGUUUCCGAGUUUGUGCAACAAAAUUCGCAGCACGUAUCACGCUGGAGGAGUGGUGAAAAAUUUGCCUCCAGAUCAGAAAUUAAGCUUCGGCAAAUAUCUGCUGUUAAAAGCAAUGAGGGAAUUGACUGCAGACAAGAUACCGAUCACCCCGUACACGUUAUAACAUUAAUUUAGUCUGUUUAAUUGGUUGUCCAUUAUUUUUAAUGUGGAAAAUGAAUUGGUUAACAACAAAUUGUAAUGUACGCAUGAUGGUAAUUAUUGAAACGAUUUAAUUUAUUAUUAGAUGUCUCAGCAGCCGCAAAAUAUAAGGUGGCGGCUGGUGGCUGGCGCGGCCGACAAAAUUUUUAACCUUUGCAAAAGACAUUUUUUUCUGCUGCACUUUUAUUUUUUUACCCUUAUUCAAGGGUGGCUGGCGGCUGCCCAUGUAACCCAAAAUUACCGGCUGGCUCUGUUUUUAUUAUUUCAAUUAAAAAAAUCGUGUUAAUGUAUAUCGUGUGAUUUUUACUUUAAAAAUAAAAUUAUACGCGAAAUUGA